rnacentral:rRNA from 1 species
UACGUAGGGUGCAAGCGUUAAUCGGAAUUACUGGGCGUAAAGCGUGCGCAGGCGGUUUUGUAAGUCUGUCGUGAAAGCCCCGGGCUCAACCUGGGAAUUGCGAUGGAGACUGCAAGGCUUGAAUCUGGCAGAGGGGGGUAGAAUUCCACGUGUAGCAGUGAAAUGCGUAGAGAUGUGGAGGAACACCGAUGGCGAAGGCAGCCCCUGGGUCAAGAUUGACGCUCAUGCACGAAAGCGUGGGGAGCAAGCAGG